UUUAGUUGGCCAAAGAACCUACAUUGUACAUGUAUAAAUAGAAAGAUGUUGCUUCCACAACAUAUAUAUAACAAUUACAUUUAAAAAAAAAAAGUAACUAUAUUUUAUUUUCCUUUCUCCACAAAAAGUAUCCCAUAAUAUUUUUCAAUAAAUUCCAUCAGUGGUAUCAGAGCCAGGUUAGUUCAUAAACUAGGCGUAGUUAUUUUCAUUCACCAUGGCCAAGAAUACCUUCUGCCCAAUUCCAAUUCCAGUCUUUAGUGGUGAAAACUACAAUUUGUGGUCUAUAAAAAUGACCAGUUAUUUUAGAUCCUAAGAACUAUGGGAUGGUGUCAGUGAGGGCUACAUUAUUCCUACUGACAUUACCAUACUAGAUGACAAUCAAAAGAAGGAGCUUGAUGAGAAUCGACAAAAAGAUUCGUAAGCUUUGUUUGUUCUACAACAACCUAUGGCGGUUGAAAUCUUUCCAAGGAUUAUGGGAGCUACAACGGCAAAGGAGGCAUGGGAUACACUACAGGAGGAGCUUCAAGGCAAUGUUAAGAAACAUCGAUGUGAAUCUUCUCCAGCGGCUUCUUUACUCUCCAUGUUAUGCCUGUUAGGAAAGGUUGCCGAUGUUGCUUUCCUUGUAAACACGCUUCACAGGUACCAUUGAUAUCUUUAAUAGUUGGUAAGUUACGAUUCAUGUUCUUUUGUUGAAGAAUUCUGAGGCCAUUGAAAAGAAAGUGACCAAAUCUCUUGUGCCAAAUCCAUGAGAUGUCUACUUGUGCCUUCAUGGCAGCUUCACUAGCAUAUUUCCAUUUUAUUAGAAAAGAUCUGUUUCCUUUCAUCUUGAUUUUUGCAAGCUCCACAAUUUUAUUUGUCUUAUCAUAUAUUGUACAUGAAUCUCUUUCAAAGCUCAGAGAGUAUCCUUUCUCUAUCAUUUAUCUGAUGUUGAGGAGAUUUUGAUUUAUAAAAGAGACUAACAAUACAUUAGUAGUGUACUGUUUACCCUUUUUGGUUUCUACACAAAUGGUUCCUUUUCAUGUAGCCUCUAUAAAUUCCCCAUUUGCAAUUUUGACUUUUGUUUGUAUUUUAUUUAAGCUACAGAAAAUACUUUCAUCUUUUGUCAUAUGGUUACUACAAUCACAAGAAAAUUCUAGAAAUAACCAAAACAAAAAAAGCAAAUAUUCUCCUUGUGAUAUUUGCAAAAGAAAAAGUCAUUUGGAAAAAAACUAUUGGUUUAAAGGAAAACCACAGUAUAGAGUCUGUAGAAAAUUUAGGCAUGUUGAAAAAGAUUGUCACUUUAAAAACACACAUCAAGCUAAUUUUACUGAAAAUAAGGACAUAGAAAAUCAUCUAUUCUAUGUCUUACAAUGUGAAGAUAAAAAGGACACCUGAUAUUUAGACAGUGGUUACAGUAACCAUAUGACAAAAGAUAAAAGUAUUUUAUGUAGCCUAAAUAAAAUACAAACAAAAGUCAAAAUUGGAAAUGGAGAAUUUAUAGAGGCUAUAGGAAAAGGAACCAUUGGUGUAGAAACCAAAAGGGGUAAACGGUACACUACUGAUGUAUUGUUAGUCUCUUCUAUAAAUCAAAAUCUCCUUAGCAUCAGAUAAAUGAUAGAGAAAGGAUACUCUCUGAGCUUUGAAAGAGAUUCAUGUACAAUAUAUGACAAGACAAAUAAAAUUGUGGAGCUUGCAAAAAUCAAGAUGAAAAGAAACAAAUCUUUUCUAAUAAAAUGGAAAUAUGCUAGUGAAGCUGCCAUGAAGGCACAAGUAGUCAUCUCAUGGAUUUGGCACAAGAGAUUUGGUCACUUUCAUUUCAAUGGCCUCAGGAUUCUUCAACAAAAGAACAUGAUGUGUAACUUACCAACUAUUGAAGAUAUCAAUGGUACCUAUGAAGCAUGUUUACAAGGCAAGCAACAUCGGCAACCUUUCCCAACAGGCACAGCACGGAGAGCAAAGAAGCCCCUGGAGCUAAUUCACACCGAUGUUUGUGGACCAAUGCAAACUCCAUCACUAAACCAAAACAGGUACUUCAUCUUAUUUAUUGAUGACUUUACUCAAAUGACUUAGGUAUAGAUUCUGCAAGGAAGAUCACAAGUCUUUGAGAUUUUCAAAAAAUUCAUAAAUUUAGUCAAAAAACAAAAUGGCUAGCAAAUCAAAACAAUUUGAAGUGAUCGAGGAAAGGAAUACAUCUCCAAGAAGUUCAACGAUUUCUGUGAAAAUGAAAGUAUGGAGCACCAAUUUACAGUCUGGUACGCUCCAAAGCAAAAUGGUGUAUCGGAAAGGAAAAACAGAACAAUCAUGGAGAUGGAUAGAACAAUGCUGAAGGAUAAAGAUCUCCUGAAUAGUUAUUGGGCAAAAGUUGUCUCUACUGUAGUCUAUCUACUAAACAGAUGCCCAACCAAAGCAGCUCAAAACAUGAUGCCAAUUGAAGCUUGGAGUGGGAGAAAACCAUCAGCAAAGCAUCCCAAGGUUUUCAAUUGUAUUUGUUAUGCCCACAUGCCAAAGGACAAGAGAAGCAAAUUAGAUAACAAGAGAAAAAAAGGUAUCUUUCUUGGCUAUAGCUUGCAAUCAAAAGGCUAUCGAAUCUAUAGCCUGGAAACAAACGAGUUAAUCAUUAGUCGAGACGUUGAGUUUGAUGAAGAUGCAUCCUACAACUGGGAAACUAAAGACGUUGAAAGGAAGAUAAUUUAUAUACCAAUAAUAGAACAACAAAGAGAGGAGGAGCCAGAUGAAACUUAAGGACCUCAGAAGACAAAUCAAGAAUCUCCAUAGACAGUGAUUGGUCAGGAUCAGCAUAUGACAUGAGAAGCACUUUUGGCUAUGCGUUCACUUUUGGCUCAGGCAUUUUCUCUUGGGCAUCAAAGAAGCAAGCAACAGUUGCAUAAUCAUCUGCAGAGGCAGAAUAUAUUGCAGUUGCAUAUGCCACAAGUCAAGCAUUAUGGCUCAAGUAUAUAUUUGAUGACUUUAGAGAACCACAAAAUGAAGCAAUGAAAAUAUACUGUGACAGCAAAUCAGCAAUAGCAAUGGUGAAGAACCCAAUGUUCCAUAACAGGACCAAGCACAUUAAAAGAAAAUAUCACUUUGUUCGUGAAGCUGAGGUAAACAAAAAAAUUGCAAUCAAAUACUACAAGACUGAAGAGCAAUUAGCGGACAUCUUCACCAAGGCACUACCUCAAAGCAAAUUCAAAUUACUAAGAAGCAAGAUUGGAGUAACAGAAAUGUGCAUCAAGGAGGAGUGUUGAAUUAAUGCUGCACAUUUCUAAAAGGAAAUUAAAAAUAAAUAAAUACUUUUCUAGAA